AUCCUGCACUCUUUUCUUAGCAAAUAUUACUAAUAGCUUGGCAGUUUCUUUCUGCAAAACUGCAGUUGAUCAUUUAACAGCCAGGACAACAAUUGGGAAUUUACUCUUUUACAUGAGGUCAUUCUAUGUACAUAAAUCAGCUGCGGAUAUGGAAAACAGAAGGGUGUGACAGAAGAAAAACAAAGGAGAUGCCUAAGCAGAGGUCUAUUUCUUCUCCCAGUGAACAGCUCAGAAGUCAUUAGGAGGAACCCUUUUGUGAUACUGUAUCAACUUUUAGGAAUUACAUUGCUAUAAGAGAAGAGUAAGAAGAAGGAAUUAAUGAUUUUCCUUCUCCUCCUCUUUCUCCUUUCCCCAGCUGGGCCUGAAGGAUUAUAAACUGAGGCAGAUCUUGCAUAUGAUGAUGUCAUCCAAUUUUACUUGCCUGGCUCCUCUCAGAAAAUAGGAAGAUGUGAGAGUCUUAAGAGGAUGGCUACAGAGGGGUUAAAUUGCACUUCAUCGUCCCUCUAGAAAUACUUCCUCACAUUGUAAACCAAUCUAAAGUAAACAGUAACAUCCAUAAUUAUAACAAGUGUGUUAAAAUAAAUGUA